GGCGGCGUGCCUAAUACAUGCAAGUCGAGCGGACUUGAAGGAGUGCUUGCACUCCUGAGAGUUAGCGGCGGACGGGUGAGUAACACGUAGGCAACCUGCCCUCAAGACUGGGAUAACUACCGGAAACGGUAGCUAAUACCGGAUAAUUUAUUACAUAGCAUUAUGUGAUAAUGAAAGACGGAGCAAUCUGUCACUUGGGGAUGGGCCUGCGGCGCAUUAGCUAGUUGGUGGGGUAACGGCCCACCAAGGCGACGAUGCGUAGCCGACCUGAGAGGGUGAACGGCCACACUGGGACUGAGACACGGCCCAGACUCCUACGGGAGGCAGCAGUAGGGAAUCUUCCGCAAUGGGCGAAAGCCUGACGGAGCAACGCCGCGUGAGUGAUGAAGGUUUUCGGAUCGUAAAGCUCUGUUGCCAAGGAAGAACGUCUCAUAGAGUAACUGCUAUGAGAGUGACGGUACUUGAGAAGAAAGCCCCGGCUAACUACGUG
rnacentral:rRNA from 1 species